GCGUGAGUGAAGAAGGCCUUCGGGUUGUAAAGCUCUUUCGACGGGGACGAUGAUGACGGUACCCGUAUAAGAAGCCCCGGCAAACUUCGUGCCAGCAGCCGCGGUAAUACGAAGGGGGCUAGCGUUGUUCGGAAUUACUGGGCGUAAAGCGAACGUAGGCGGUGUUCCAUGUCAGAGGUGAAAGCCUGGGGCUCAACUCCAGAAUUGCCUUUGAAACGGGAACGCUUGAGUCCGAGAGAGGAUGGCGGAAUUCCUAGUGUAGAGGUGAAAUUCGU
rnacentral:rRNA from 1 species